CGGCCCCAUUCGCCCUGGGAACCUGAUGCUCAUGAUUUCCCACAUAUUCACACCUUGGUUGCUGCUCAGACCUCCCACCUCUCAUGUGGUCCAUCGGGUGCUGAGUAUUAUACCUUCGGCUUCCUCUCAGCAGCAAGCACACUAGGGAGUUCUGUUGCGUGCACCACUGUAUAUGUGAUGUAAUAUUAGUUCACACACUCCACUUAUUCAGAGCAUUUUCACAACUGGUCUCCCCUGGUCUUCGCAAGAAGCCUCCAGGUUACGUUGGGUGUGGAAAGUCCUCUGAGAGCUGAGAUGGCGCCUCUUUCGAUCGGAGUUCAGGUUUGCAUGGCUUAACCUGCAGCACCCAGCAGCAUGUCUGGGACUCAGGAGACGCUCAGCAAAGGACAGCUGCAGAAGAGCGGUUAGAGUGACAGGAGCCAAAGGGAAGAGAAGAGAGCCAUCUCUGAGACCCAGAUGGGAGCCCGUGGUUGUGAGGGGCCAGACUUUGGGAGAAUAACCUGAGGAAUAGGUGGGGAAUGGCAACUACAGGAAGAAAAGAAGAAAAAGAAAACAAACAAACACCUUUCACUUAGAAACUGAGGUCUCUUGUUGUAUCAUGUAACUUCCCACUUCCUCAUACAAAUCAGCAUCUCUUUUUUUCUCCUUCAAAUAAAGUUCUCUUUUCCCUUUUGAAGCCAGUCUCAUACCUAAGCCUUCUCCCUUCCUCUCAGACCUUGAUCCACCUGUCACUCUCUCUCUCU